rnacentral:rRNA from 1 species
AUUGAACGCUGGCGGCAGGCCUAACACAUGCAAGUCGAGCGGAGCGGAGGACGGGAGCGUAAUGCCUAGGAAUCUGCCUGGUAGUGGGGGAUAACGUCCGGAAACGGGCGCUAAUACCGCAUACUAUCAGAUGAGCCUAGGUCGGAUUAGCUAGUUGGUGGGGUAAAGGCCUACCAAGGCGACGAUCCGUAACUGGUCUGAGAGGAUGAUCAGUCACAUUGGAACUGGGACACGGUCCAGAUUCCUAUGGGGGGCAGCAGUGGGGAUUAUGGGACAAUGGCGAAAGCCUGAUCCAGCCAUGCCGCGUGUGUGAAGAAGGUCUUCGGAUUGUAAAGCACUUUAAGUUGUGAGGCGUUACCAACAGAAUAAGCACCUGCUAACUACGUGCCAGCCGCCGCGGUAAUUU